UACGAAGGGGGCUAGCGUUGCUCGGAAUCACUGGGCGUAAAGGGUGCGUAGGCGGGUCUUUAAGUCAGGGGUGAAAUCCUGGAGCUCAACUCCAGAACUGCCUUUGAUACUGAAGAUCUUGAGUUCGGGAGAGGGAAGUGGAAUUUCCGGUGUAGCGGUGAAAUGCGUAGAUAUCGGAAGGAACAUCAGUGGCGAAAGCGGCUCACUGGCCCGGUACUGACGCUGAGGUGCGAAAGCGUGGGGAGCAAACAGG
rnacentral:rRNA from 1 species